rnacentral:rRNA from 1 species
AUUGAACGCUGGCGGCAGGCCUAACACAUGCAAGUCGAACGAGUGGCGGACGGGUGAGUAAUGUCUGGGAAACUGCCUGAUGGAGGGGGAUAACUACUGGAAACGGUAGCUAAUACCGCAUACCAUCAGAUGUGCCCAGAUGGGAUUAGCUAGUAGGUGGGGUAAAGGCUCACCUAGGCGACGAUCCCUAGCUGGUCUGAGAGGAUGACCAGCAACCCUGGGACUGUGCCACGCGCCAGACGCCUACGUGAGGCAGCAGUGGGGAAUAUUGCACAAUGGUCGCAAGUCUGAUCCAUCCAUCCCGCGUGUAUGAAGAAGGCCUUCGGGUUGUAAAGUUCUUUCAGCUGCGACGCGUUACCUGAAGAUGAAGCACCUGCUAACUCCGUGCCAGCAGCCGCGGUAAUAC